rnacentral:rRNA from 1 species
ACUCCUACGGGAGGCAGCAGUGGGGAAUAUUGCACAAUGGGCGCAAGCCUGAUGCAGCCAUGCCGCGUGUGUGAAGAAGGCCUUCGGGUUGUAAAGCACUUUCAGUCGUGAGGAAGGUAGUGUAGUUAAUAGCUGCAUUAUUUGACGUUAGCGACAGAAGAAGCACCGGCUAACUCCGUGCCAGCAGCCGCGGUAAGUACGGAGGGUGCGAGCGUUAAUCGGAAUUACUGGGCGUAAAGCGCAUGCAGGUUGGUUUGUUAAGUCAGAUGUGAAAGCCCGGGGCUCAACCUCGGAAUAGCAUUUGAAACUGGCAGACUAGAGUACUGGUAGAGGGGGUAGAAUUUCAGGUGUAGCGGUGAAAUGCGUAGAGAUCUGAAGGAUACCGGUGGCGAAGGCGGCCCCUGGACAGAUACUGACACUCAGAUGCGAAAGCGUGGGAGCAAACAGGAUUAGAU